rnacentral:rRNA from 1 species
UCAUGCUCGUGGAGCGGCCGAUAUCUGAUUAGCUAGUUGGUAGGGUAAAAGCCUACCAAGGCAUCGAUCAGUAGCUGGUCUGAGAGGACGACCAGCCACACUGGAACUGAGACACGGUCCAGACUCCUACGGGAGGCAGCAGUGGGGAAUUUUGGACAAUGGGCGAAAGCCUGAUCCAGCAAAGGCGCGUGAGUGAAGAAGGCCUUCGGGUGUAAAGCUAAUGGUCAGGGAAGAAACGGUGAGGGCUAAUAUCUC